GCCUACAGCCAUACCAGUCUGAAAGCGCCUGAUCUCGUCAGAUAUCAGAAGUUAUGCAGACUUGGGCCUGAUUAGUACUUGUAUGGGAGACCAACUAUGAACCUCAGCUGCCGUAAGCU
rnacentral:rRNA from 1 species